GACUGGAUAGCCUAGUGGUCAAGGCAUCACAUUGACAAUGCUGAGUCCCAGGUUUGAAUCCUGGUCUAGUCA
rnacentral:tRNA from 1 species